rnacentral:tmRNA from 1 species
GGGGAUGUAAAGGUUUCGACAGGGGUGCGUGUGGUAUAGAUAGCGAGUCGGCGUUCCAUUAGGCCGUUAAACGGUGGGAAAACAUUUAAACGCAGAAGAAAAUUUUGCAUUAGCUGCAUAAGCUACG